rnacentral:tmRNA from 1 species
GGGGUUGUUUAGAUUCGACAGAAUUAUGUGGCUAUAGACUGCAAGCCGAAGGUACGCGUUAAGUACGACAAUAAAAUAACUGGAAACAGAACUGAAUUAGCUUUCGCUUAAGAAUAAUGAAGGCUGCUCCUUUAUAGAUUUCCCUAUGAUCUAUAUCUGGGGCUCGACUAGUAGGGUAUAUCAGUAUAUUGUCUAGUUAUAUUGAUGAAUUUUAUAGACUUACUUAGUACUUGGUAGUUAACUUCUUGGUGCUAAGGAAAUAUACUAGUUAACUAAGCUUGUAGACGUUUAUAGUUUAGUAGUUUUGGACAGGGGUGCGAUUCCCCUCAACUCCACCA